CAGAGCAGAAGCACAGUCCUUCGAAUACUAUUCGUCAAGUAAAUUAGAUAUUUAUAAUUUACAAAGAGACGCUCCAAUAAUAUAACCAUGAAGGUAGCAACAAUUGUCGUUUUGGUCAUCCAUUUGUAUUUCCGAAUGGCUCAGGCGCUGCAGGAGGCUGAAGCACUGGGGGACAUAAUUAUUAGGAAACCUGAUGGCACAGUAAUUGUUAUCAAAGACUAGCUGGCUGUAGGAUCUUUGUAAACAGCACAACUACUUCAACCAACAUUAUAGAAUUUAAUAUUUUGUUAACUUAGAUGAAAUAAACAUUUUUGUCGAAAAUACUGA